GAACGUAGAAGAAGGCUAGUUACUCUCUCCCUUCUCUCUUUCUUUCUUUCUUUCUCUCUACUUCUUCUUGAAUGUCUGACUAUUCAAUUAUAAAAUUCUAGGGUUUUACUCUUGUUUUGUGCACUUGAUUUGGCUAAUGUUUAGUUUCCUUUUAUCUUCAUCCAUUUAGCGCUUCAUUCUUCAUCGAGAAGUGUUCUAAAUUUCUCAUAAAGGGGUUUUUGGUCUAGAUUUUCACUCGAGAUUUAGAAAAGGCACAGAGAAGGGUUCGAUGGGAGCAAAUCUGUAGGAGCUCAGCCUCAAUCUCUUUGAAUCGUCUUAUCGCAUUAUACCCAGGGAGAGAGAGUGAGAGUCAAAGGGAUGAGCAAAGCAGAGAUACACUAAGUGAAGAAGGGUUUUUACCUGGUACACUGCUUCAUUUGAUCGAAAGCAUCACUACCUUCUAGUGUUGUAGGAUGUAACUCACCACUAGCCAUAAGCUAAGUUGUUGCCACCAACCACUUCUCAACAAUCCAGUUUUUGUCAUCAACCCCAUAUGAUGGCUGUUAUAGCAAUUACCAACUAUCAUGGAGGCAGUUGCAUGAUGCAAAUGAAACUGGAAAUGGUGGAUCCUUGGACAAUCCCAAAUGCAAAUUUUUGAAUUUGGAUGGAACAAAGGUGGUGGUUGGGGAAGGCACAAUUACAUCAACAGAUUCUAAAGCAUUGGUACAUCACAUUCCUCUUGGCCCUGGGUGUUGGAAAGUAUAGGUUAACCAUGUAUGAUAUAGUUUUGGAUGGUUUAUAACUUUUUGGACAAUUUAGAACUUAAGGAUGGUCCUUUUGGAUGGUUUUGAACUUACAGUUAGUUUUUGGAUGCUUGGAAUGUAUAUAUUGACAAUUUUUUAAUGUUCAUAAUUUAUGUAUAUAGUUUAUUUUUUAUGCUUGAAACAAUA